rnacentral:misc_RNA from 1 species
UCUUCUUCUGUUCUGUUUUUCACAAUGGGCCAAUAUUUUAAGCUUGUUGGUCUAGUGGAUCCCACCAUUAGGCAUGCUGCAUAAUGUGUAAAAAAUAUGGUUGCUUGAACCUGAAGUGUUAUGAUAACUAUGAAAGUUUUGUUACUCUUUAUGUUUUCAUUAGAUUCCUUUUCUGUAAGUUGUAUAUCUGGAUAAGAUUCCUGAAAGAUGUGCUGUUGGCUAUCAGUUAUAAUUUUCGUUAAACUAGCAUGUGAAUUGAAUUGGGAGCUG